rnacentral:rRNA from 1 species
GAGUUUGAUCCUGGCUCAGAUUGAACGCUGGCGGCAUGCCUUACACAUGCAAGUCGAACGGCAGCACGGGAGCAAUCCUGGUGGCGAGUGGCGAACGGGUGAGUAAUAUACCGGAACGUGCCCAGUCGUGGGGGAUAACGCAGCGAAAGCUGUGCUAAUACCGCAUACGAUCUCUGGAUGAAAGCGGGGGACUCGCAAGAGCCUCGCGCGAUUGGAGCGGCCGAUAUCAGAUUAGCUAGUUGGUGGGGUAAAAGCCCACCAAGGCGACGAUCUGUAGCUGGUCUGAGAGGACGACCAGCCACACUGGAACUGAGACACGGUCCAGACUCCUACGGGAGGCAGCAGUGGGGAAUUUUGGACAAUGGGCGCAAGCCUGAUCCAGCAAUGCCGCGUGCAGGAUGAAGGCCUUCGGGUUGUAAACUGCUUUUGUACGGAACGAAACGGUCUGCCCUAAUACGGUGGGCUAAUGACGGUACCGUAAGAAUAAGCACCGGCUAACUACGUGCCAGCAGCCGCGGUAAUACGUAGGGUGCGAGCGUUAAUCGGAAUUACUGGGCGUAAAGCGUGCGCAGGCGGUUAUAUAAGACAGAUGUGAAAUCCCCGGGCUCAACCUGGGACCUGCAUUUGUGACUGUAUAGCUA